CAACUGACAGGAUAAAAAAGAUGCAGUCAUUAAAAUUCAGCUAACGGGAUGCCGCCUUGGUGCUCUCUAUAUUAAAAUUCUGAGCUAAACCAUUGCUCUGCAGAAAUUUGUGUCUCUCUGUACUCUCUUACAUCAGUGUCCCGGGAAAGACCUCAAACUCCAAGUACUUGAGCAUCAGUAACGACUGCCUGUAUUGCUCACAUUCUGCUGUUCGUCGCCUUUUGGGCAAAAGCUGUGUUACGUUUUAGUGUCACGUGCUGCUUAAAAGCUUGCUAUAGAAUAAGUAUAAAUACAUACCUCAAGGCCACUUCCCCCCUUUUGUUAACAAUAAAUGCAGUAGACAUUGACAUUGCAGAAAAAGACUUGAGUGCUCAUGGUGAAGUUUUCUGUCCUUACAAGCUGUAGGAGCCAUUUUGCAAAGGAGGAAUUUAAGAUCUGGAGUCAGGAUCCACUUUUUGACUGUGCUAUUUUGCAUAAUUAGAGUAGAGUUACCAAGGUGAUAAAGAGGUAAGGUAAAUAAAAAUCAGAAUUUCUGAGCAGAACUUGAAACUUUUGAAGCUUUAAUUCAAUCUAGCUUUUAUGAAAUGAUAAAGAUGUAUAAUCACCGCCCGACCCAGGCUUGCACACCUAGCAGAGAUGGCUUUUCUAGUCAAGCGAGAGCAUUAAUGAGGAAAGGAAAUGCUGUUACACGAACCAAGAGCAUUUUACAAAAAGAUACGGAAGGAAAUAAAAGGAAGGGAAAAAGAAUUUGUGCCUUCCUCUAUCAAAAGCAUGAGUAUUAGACUUUGAAGUCUAUUUAUUUUUUAUAUAGUAUAGUUAUAAGCCUUCUUGGCAUCAGUGUAAAUCCUGAACAGAUACAAAAAGGAAAAGACACUAAGCUGGGCUCACUGUACAACUGUUUGACUUCAUUCUGUCAAGACUGAGGCAGCUCCUUUGCAAUGCUUUAUGUUCACUGGCUCUAAGGAAAAGCAAUGGGAACUAAAUGUGCACCUUUAGGUUUUCUCUGUUUCUUCGUGUAUUACCCUGACAUAUUGCUACCCUAAACAACGUAGCAUACUCGCAUAGCAUGAAACAAAUCAAAUGUCUAAAAUAACAACAAAGGCAAUCAAGCUAUUUCUGUGACUUUUGGCGGUAUUUUGAUGAUGAACUUAGGACAUGCCACUGGUUCAUGACCCCCUGCUACAUCAAGUUCAAAUAAGGGUGAUUAGAAAACCCUCUCUGCGCGAGCUGUUUACUGCUGUUGGAAACACUCCAUCGCCUUCCUUCCAACCCCUUCCUGGGAACCCAGUGCUCAUUUAAGUGAGUAGUACACCGGCCUGGUUUUGCUUCCUACCCAGAGACCAUUAGAAAUGUCUUUCCCUGUUACACACAGGGCAGUCUAGCAUUAAGGCCACUCAAGAAAAGGCGGAAUUAUAAAUAGGGCCUCCGGUUCAUGAAAGCAGGUAUAUCAGUGCGCAAACACUUUAUGUCUAAUUUAAGGUUCAGUGAGAACUGCAGCGUUUUCUCUAUAUACCUUACCCUGCCUGUAGCUGUUUAGAGGAGCUCUGAGUAGCAAUCAAGGAAAUUUAUAUUCUGCAAAAUUCAUUUUUCUCUGAAAAGUGUACUUGAAAACAUUUUCAAGUGUGUCUCUGAAUAUAUGAGUCACUCCUGACAGGAAAAAAAAUGCUUUCCCCUUACACCAUGCAUGUUAUGUAUUUUAUGCUAUUAAAAAGGAAGUUAUAGUUAAAAUAAAGUUUGAUAGGAUAUUAAAUGUUUGAGUUAU
rnacentral:lncRNA from 1 species